rnacentral:lncRNA from 1 species
UUAAAUGGUAGAGAAUCAAAAUGAAAUUAAAAAAUAAAACGCUAUGUAACUAAUGACUUUUUAACAACAAGAUUAUUUUCACAAUGAUGAAAAGGUCUAAUGAAAAAUAAGAGUACUCUGCCGUUUUCAAUUCACUGUCUGUUUUAUUGUUAAAAGUUUCAAACAGAACGCCACGGUUCCAAGAAACGCCAUAAAGUAGGAUUAAUGUUGUGUCUAUAAUCAUUUUGAGUAUGAGAAGACUAAGGUCCAAAGAAAAUAACGGCUUAUGUGAUUUUGCGUCAGUGGAAAAGAGAUAGCGUGAGACGACGGAGAGUGAAAGAAUACAAGUAUUUCCUACGAUGAAUAAUUUCAGACACAAGGCCUGAACACAGAGGGGACAUACAUAGACAUGCGGGAACAAAAAACAUAUGAAAUAAUGAAUUACAAUGAAUUAAACUACAACGAAUAUGAGACGUUUUUCUCGGUCCUGCUCCGAGAUGAAACCGUGAUUUCUUUUUUACAAUUAAACGUUCUUACAGUC